rnacentral:lncRNA from 1 species
AGAUUACGUUAUAAGGUAUUUAUUAUGGUACGAGUCAGACAAUAAUCUGUGUGAUAGCAAACUACUAUGGAAGGGUGCUGGACAUGACGUGGUGCAGGCUAAAUUUGAUUGUUGAGUCAGUCAUUAUGAUUGAGUAUUAUUGUAUUAUUUUAUCCAGUAUCUAAUUAAUGCAUGGGAUAUAUAAUUUAUAGUUUCAGUUAUAUUGUAAAAACAUGAUAGUAGUAGUUAUUUUCAGUAAUUAUUCAUAUAUUACCUGCUUAGUCAUACUGCUCAGUUAUUUAUCAUUUCUGCCUCCUAUGGACCUAAUAGUGUAGACCGUCGGCAUUGUCGACUGUACCCACUGGGGAUUUAUAGCCCUCAUACCCUUUUUAUUAUUAUUUUAUUUCAGAGUAUUCAGCACCAGCAAUUGAUCGAGAUAAG